CCUACGGGUGGCAGCAGUGAGGAAUAUUGGUCAAUGGACGAGAGUCUGAACCAGCCAAGCAGCGUGAAGGAUGACUGCCCUAUGGGUUGUAAACUUCUUUUAUAAAAGAAUAAAACGAGGCACGUGUGCCUUCUUGCAUGUACUUUAUGAAUAAGGAUCGGCUAACUCCGUGCCAGCAGCCGCGGUAAUACGGAGGAUCCGAGCGUUAUCCGGAUUUAUUGGGUUUAAAGGGUGCGUAGAUGGUUUGUUAAGUCAGUUGUGAAAGUUCGGGGCUCAACCGUAGAAUUGCAAUUAAUACUGGCAGACUAGAGUACAGUUGAGUGAGGCGGAAUGCAUGGUGUAGCGGUGAAAUGCUUAGAGAUCACGAAGAACCCCGAUUGCGAAGGCAGCUUACUAAACUAUGACUGACAUUGAGGCUCGAAAGCGUGGGUAUAAAACAGGAUUAGAUACCCGGGUAGUC
rnacentral:rRNA from 1 species